UGUCUUUGCAAAUCAUGGUGAAAUUCCUUAGAUGGUUGGCAUGAGGUAGUGAGAUCUCUUCAAAACCUGCCUAGAUUCGUUGGGUCAGUGCAGAGCCUCAAAUUUUCAGCUGCUGAAUUGAUCUUGGAUUUCCAUCUACUUUGAAAUGAUAUUCUCCUGGAAGACAUCCUAAUCCUGUGAAUACAGCUUUGCUCUUGUCGAGAAUGUGCUCCAUGUUCAGUUUGUGCUGGAACAGGCUGUAAAUCUCUUUUGGCAUGUUGAAGAAUGUGAACAAUAGGAAGAACACCCCAUGAUUCAGCACACAGAUACAGCUUACCUAGUCCACUUGUGUGAUCUCCAAAAUGGAA